AUCAGUUUAACCCUACCUCCCAUCAGUUUAACCCUACUCCCCAUCAGUUUAACCCUACUCCCCAUCACUUUAACACUACUCCCCAUCAAUUUAACCCUACUCCCAAUCAGUUUAACCCUACCUCCCAUCAGUUUAACCCUACUCCCUAUCAAUUUAACUCUACCCCUCGUCAGUUUAACACUACCCCCCAUCAGUUUAACACUACCCCUCUUAAAUUUAACUCUGCCCCUCAUCAAUUUAACUCUACCCCUCAUCAGUUUAACAAUACCCCUCAUCAAUUUAACUCUACCCCUCAUCAGUUUAACAAUACCCCUCAUCAAUUUCACUCUACCCCUCAUCAGUUUAACACUACCCCUCAUCAGUUUAACACUACCCCUCAUUAGUUCAACAAUACCCCUCAUCAGUUUAACACUGGCCCUCAUCAAUUUCACUCUACCCCUCAUCAGUUUAACAAUACCCCUCAUCAGUUUAACACUAGCCCUCAUCAGUUUAACCCUACUCCCCAUCAAUUUAACCCUACUCCCUAUCAAUUUAACUCUACCCCUCGUCAGUUUAACAAUACUCCUCAUCAGUUUAACACUAGCCCUCAUCAGUUUAAUACUACUCCUAAACACUAUAACCCUACUCCACAUCAGUUUAACCCUACUCCCAAUCAGUUUAACCCUACCUCCCAUCAGUUUAACCCUACUCCCCAUCAAUUUAACCCUACUCCUCAUCAGUUUAACCCUACUCCCCAUCAGUUUAACCCUACUCCCCAUAAGUUUAACCCUACUCC
rnacentral:lncRNA from 13 species